GUGAACUUUGUAAGGAAAAGAUGCUGGAAGAAAACAUGCAUGACCAGCAUUUGAUAUUGGUUGUAUUUGAAUACCCUCUGGAAAUAUCAAGACUUUAGUAUACCCCCACUCCACUGGAAAUCUUGAUGCAAUGACACACCCUAUCCUCUUGAAUUUCCAAUCCCUUCUGUGGCAGGGGGGAUGGCUAUUUCCUGGAACUAUGCAAUUUGAGUCAUGUAUCAGUAUUUUUUGGCAUUAAGCAUUUCCUCAAAAGGCUAGCCCCAGACAUUUGCAUGUUUUUCUUUAAUGAUUGCCAGGUAGGUGGGUGAGAAAAAGAGCACUCCCUACUCUGGUGAUGAGUGGUAAGAAAUUCUCACCAGCCAGGGGCA